rnacentral:rRNA from 1 species
GUUUCCGUAGGUGAACCAGCGGAGGGAUCAUUACCGAGUUUACAACUCCCAAACCCCUGUGAACAUACCUAUACGUUGCCUCGGCGGAUCAGCCCGCGCCCCGUAAAACGGGACGGCCCGCCCGAGGACCCUAAACUCUGUUUUUAGUGGAACUUCUGAGUAAAACAAACAAAUAAAUCAAAACUUUCAACAACGGAUCUCUUGGUUCUGGCAUCGAUGAAGAACGCAGCAAAAUGCGAUAAGUAAUGUGAAUUGCAGAAUUCAGUGAAUCAUCGAAUCUUUGAACGCACAUUGCGCCCGCCAGUAUUCUGGCGGGCAUGCCUGUUCGAGCGUCAUUUCAACCCUCAAGCUCAGCUUGGUGUUGGGACUCGCGGUAACCCGCGUUCCCCAAAUCGAUUGGCGGUCACGUCGAGCUUCCAUAGCGUAGUAAUCAUACACCUCGUUACUGGUAAUCGUCGCGGCCACGCCGUUAAACCCCAACUUCUGAAUGUUGACCUCGGAUCAGGUAGGAAUACCCGCUGAACUUAAGCAUAUCAAUAAGCGGAGGAAAAGAAACCAACAGGGAUUGCCCUAGUAACUG